rnacentral:rRNA from 1 species
GAUGAACGCUAGCGACAGGCUUAACACAUGCAAGUCGAGGGCAGCGAGGGAGUGGCAACACUUCCGUCGGCGACCGGCGCACGGGUGAGUAACGCGUAUGCAACCUGCCCUUCACAGGGGGAUAACCGGGAGAAAUUCCGACUAAUACCGCAUACGUCCUCCGGGGGCAUCCCCGGGGGAUGAAAGAGUUAUCGGUGAAGGAUGGGCAUGCGUGAUAUUAGGUAGUUGGCGGGGCAACGGCCCACCAAGCCCACGAUAUCUAGGGGUUCUGAGAGGAAGGUCCCCCACAUUGGUACUGAGACACGGACCAAACUCCUACGGGAGGCAGCAGUGAGGAAUAUUGGUCAAUGGACGAGAGUCUGAACCAGCCAAGUCGCGUGAAGGAAGACGGAUCUAAUGGGUUUGUAAAACUUCUUUAGUGCGGGAACAAAGCGGCGUCGAGACGCCGGAUGAGUGUACCGCAAGAUAAGCAUCGGCU